rnacentral:lncRNA from 1 species
CUAUAACAAGGCAUUUCCAACUAUUACAUACAAAUAGCUGGAUUUAGUUCUUUCUGUUUUUAGUAGUGGUAGCACGUGGGCCCAUAUGCUGAUUUUUGUUACUAAUUCUGUUUCUGCCUAUAAGGGUAGAAGGCCCAUCCUGUCCAGGCUGAGCAGCCCUAGCUUUCUCAGCCUCUCCUUGUCUGUCAGCUUCUCCAGUCUCUCGAUCAUCUUUGUGGCCACUCAGUAGACUCCCUUCAGUAAUUUUGGGAAAGGACUCUCUUGUACCAGAAGCAAGUGCUGGACUCAGCACUGCAGAUACAGUGCUGAGCAGAAAGAAAGGAUCAGUCUCUAAUCUGCAGCCCAGGAUUCCAUUGGCUUUCAUCUAGGGUGGAAGACACUGUGAUUCAAGUCCUUCCUGAUUCAAUGCACAAACCUGAAUUUCCACUCCACUUUUCCCAGAUGGCUACUCUAGCUACUGUAUUGUUCAGACUUUUUGUAUGAAGGCUUCCUAAACUGCUGGGGAGAAGCUGGACUCUUAUCGAGCUACAGAACACUGACCUCAGGUUCAGGCUGAGGCUUUGGCCUCUGUUGGUGCCAGGAGCCGUGCUUUGCAAAGGCAGGAUCCCUCUGAUGAGCUGCUAUGGCAAGG